rnacentral:rRNA from 1 species
UACAGAGGGUGCAAGCGUUAAUCGGAAUUACUGGGCGUAAAGCGUGCGCAGGCGGCUUUGCAAGACAGAUGUGAAAUCCCCGGGCUCAACCUGGGAACUGCAUUUGUGACUGCAAGGCUAGAGUACGGCAGAGGGGGAUGGAAUUCCGCGUGUAGCAGUGAAAUGCGUAGAUAUGCGGAGGAACACCGAUGGCGAAGGCAAUCCCCUGGGCCUGCACUGACGCUCAUGCACGAAAGCGUGGGGAGCAAACAGG